rnacentral:rRNA from 1 species
UACGGGGGGGGCAAGCGUUGUUCGGAAUUACUGGGCGUAAAGGGCUCGUAGGCGGCCAACUAAGUCAGACGUGAAAUCCCUCGGCUUAACCGGGGAACUGCCUCUGAUACUGGAUGGCUUGAGAUUGGGAGAGGGACGCGGAAUUCCAGGUGUAGCGGUGAAAUGCGUAGAUAUCUGGAGGAACACCGGUGGCGAAGGCGGCGUCCUGGACCAACACUGACACUGAUGAGCGAAAGCCAGGGGAGCAAACGGG